UACCACUUAGCUACAAAAAUCAGAAAUAAGAAUAGAACCAAUUGCGUGCUGCACCUAGUACAAGGUUAAACCCUCUUGUAUGUGCCGAUACUCUGACAGCAUUGAAACUUCUUUUAUCAUUUAAAUUUUACUUCAACUGGAGGACCACGUCUCAAGCCUUAAAAACUUGAGUUAAAACCUGGAGUUCAUCUGAAUCCUCCCUCCCCCAACUCCUGACAUGAUGAGAAUCUGCUUUCUUCGAAUGUACACAAUUGAACCACUUAUGAGGAACAAACCCAAAACAGCACCCUCAAAACGAACUACUGACAACUUCUCUUCAUUAGCAGGAAUUAUACAGCUUCUAUAAGUAAUAUAAACCUGUGAUCCAUCCUCUAAUGUGGAUAAAUCAUCCAGUAAACUUCUAUGCUUGUUUGGAACAGUGUCAUGCAAUGUUGCAUGUGGAUUUGUGUUUUCAUUAGAGAUCUCUAUAGCAGAUCGACUAUUCUGAGACUUAUUCUCAUUUCCAUUCUUUGUACCAUCUUUAAUUUCAACACACUUCAAAGGGAUACGAUAACCAGUCUCACUGCAACGAUAUCUUUCAUCAUUCUUCUCAGAGUAGAGGCAGGGAACGCAGGCGCCAGAAGGAGAGCAAUCGAAGGUAAGGUUA
rnacentral:misc_RNA from 1 species